rnacentral:ribozyme from 1 species
UGCUGGGAGCAGUCUCCAACCCCUCCAUGGUCCAGCCUGUCAGCACGGCGGCUUUCUGCGGAGGAGGAGUCAACGCCUGGGCCUUUGCAACUGCGCCUGCUGCUAUGGCCUACGAGGUGUACGUGCCGGAGC